ensembl:lncRNA
UAUCCUCUAUCGUGUUUAAGAAGAAGAGGAUAAUGAAGCUUUUUAUGAAAUAAUAUUUGGGUUUAUUUUAUUUUAUUUUCUCCUCAAAGAUUCAAAUUUACGUCAACGUCCGUUACGUUGGUGACGUCACCGCGAGCGCGAGAAGUCGAAGUGAGGAGCAGAAAGCGUUGUUAGUGUUAGUUCUGGCCCGUUUGGACCCAAACUAAAGUGUAUCAGUAUGAAGCAGGCGGAGACGGCGCACUGAUUCACUCUCAGAGCUCGAUUCACUAAUGACCGAAUCACCGAGGAACCGACCAAAGAUAAAUCACACCCGCACAGAGAAGAAGAUGAGCUGGAGUGGGGCAAAGAGAACUGCAUUCAGAUCAAACGGAUACAAGAGAGGUGGCCGAGUUGUUUGAGGAUCUGAAGAAUCGAGUGUCGCAAUUCAACAUGCACAUCAGCGAAACUUCCUCUGACUACACCAGCGCGCACACACACACAAAUUCAUAGUGCAGGUGGCGAUUGCAGGCGCAUUUUAUCCGAACUGCUUCCUCCAGGGAACUGUGGACGAGGAGCUCGCCUCCAAGGAGCUCUAUGAAAACAACCCCAGGACCACCGUAGUGGUAUUCGGUGUGUAAUCUCCCUCCAUUUGCAUUCCUCUACUAUAAACAGCUCCAGUCUCUCUUCAGACACUGUGAUUAAGUCAAAUCCAUCUCCUUUGACAGCUCCAGGGCCUAUGUAGAGUUCUACCGCUCGUCAAUGAGAGGUUCUGGCGUUCUCCCAGAGGUCUCUCUGUCUCUCCUCCUCGCGCAGCAGAGACUUCCUCUCCAUCUCAACGUUUAACCCGCUGGAGAGGUGGAGACUUGGGCAGGGGGGUAGUGUAUCUCACACCUCAGAUAUACACGGUGUUCUUUGUGGACUUUGGAAACACUUCCAAGGUGCCAUGUAACUCUCUCUGGAACUUCCUGCUGACCGGCAAGCUCUGUAUUUCAGGUG